rnacentral:rRNA from 1 species
CUACGGGGCGCAGCAGUGAAGAAUAUUGCACAAUGGGGGGAACCCUGAUGCAGCAACGCCGCGUGGAGGAUGACGCAUUUCGGUGUGUAAACUCCUUUUAUAUGUCAAGAAAAUGACGGUAGCAUAUGAAUAAGCACCGGCUAACUCCGUGCCAGCAGCCGCGGUAAUACGGAGGGUGCAAGCGUUACUCGGAAUCACUGGGCGUAAAGGACGCGUAGGCGGGUUGGAAAGUCAGGUGUGAAAUCCUACAGCUUAACUGUAGAACUGCACUUGAAACUUCUAAUCUAGAGUAUGGGAGGGGGAGAUGGAAUUAGUGGUGUAGGGGUAAAAUCCGUAGAUAUCACUAGGAAUACCUAAAGCGAAGGCGAUCUCCUGGAACAUUACUGACGCUAAGGCGCGAAAGCGUGGGGAGCAAACAGGAUUAGAUACCCCUGUAGUC